GGGCGGGUAGCGUAGUGGUCAGCGCAUUCACUGAGCGUAAUCUGUUCCAAGCGAAAUCCAGCGUUGCUUCUAAAUAUAUAUACCAAGCGUUCAUUGAAAGACCUGGGUUCGAACCCCAGCCCGCCCA